UAGGGAAUAUUAGAAAUGGACGAAAGUCUGAUCUAGCAACACCGCGUGUGCGAAGAAGGCCUUCGGGUUGUAAAGCACUUUUUGGAAGGAUUAGGAAGGAAUGUACUUCCAGAAUAAGUCUCGGCUAACUACGUGCCAGCAGCCGCGGUAACACGUAGGAGGCAAACGUUAUCCGGAUUUACUGGGCGUAAAGCGCGUGUAGGUGGUUCUGUAAGUAGGGCGUGAAAGCUCCUGGCUCAACUGGGAGAGGCCGUUCUAAACUGCAGAGCCAGAGGAUGGUAGAGGGAGGUGGAAUUCCGGGUGUAGCGGUGGAAUGCGCAGAUAUCCGGAGGAACACCAGUGGCGAAGGCGCUUCUCUGGACUGUAACUGACGCUGAGGCUCGAAAGCGUGGGGAGCAAACA
rnacentral:rRNA from 1 species